CUCACCACUCCAAGUCACCAGGAAACCUAGAGGCAGCACGGAGCCAACUCACUGCCCAACGAACGGGAGUGCUUGGUCCACUCGCUCCCCCGAGAGGCGGCAAAACAUAUGGCUGUGACAUACCCCUGGCAGGUGUUGGCUGACCGGGACAUUUGAAAUCACAGAUGAGUCAUUCACCCUAUGCCUCAUAAAGUCCCUACCUGCUACUAAGGACGUUUUCUUGUUCCCCUGAGAAAUAUAGUGUUACUCCUAUGCUCAUAUGCUAUGCCCUACAACUCACACGCUAACCUACUGCAAUUAUCUUGUAUUCCUAUCGACUAACAACACUAGUAUAAACAUGUGCCAAACUUUUAACAAAGCACAACCGCUACACACUCUCUAGGGCUAUGUAUAAUAACAAUGUUCAGCCUGCAUAACACUCCACAGCCUCAAUAGACUUAGCAUGCUCCUACAUUCCUGUAUUAACC